rnacentral:rRNA from 1 species
GGGGUUACGGGGGCAACGAUCAGCUGCUGCAUGCCUAAACCGUGCAGUUCACAGAUCAAACGCGAGUGGCCUGCGCCCGCAGGUUGAGAUAUGACCGUAGCAGCUCUGCGAGGAGUCUGAUCGUCUAGUUCCGUAGGUGAACCUGCGGAAGGAUCAUUA